AUUGAACGCUGGCGGCAGGCUUAACACAUGCAAGUCGAACGAGUGGCGGACGGGUGAGUAAUGUCUGGGAAACUGCCUGAUGGAGGGGGAUAACUACUGGAAACGGUAGCUAAUACCGCAUACCCUCGGAUGUGCCCAUAUGGGAUUAGGUAGUAGGGGGGGUAAAGGCUCACGUAGGCGACGAUCCCUAGCUGGUCUGAGAGGAUGACCAGCCACACUGGGACGGAGAAACGGCCCAGAGUCCUAAGGGAGGGAGCGUUGGGGAAUAGUGCACAAUGGGUGCGAACCUGAGGCAGACAUGCCGCGUGUAUGAAGAAGGCAUUCGGGUUGUAAAGUACUGUCAGCGGGGAGGCGUUACCCGCAGAAGAAGCACCGGCUAACUCCGUGCCAGCAGCCGCGGUAAUUC
rnacentral:rRNA from 1 species